GAUGAACGCUGACAGAAUGCUUAACACAUGCAAGUCAACUUGAAUUUGGGUUUUUAACUUAGGUUUGGGUGGCGGACGGGUGAGUAACGCGUAAAGAACUUGCCUCACAGCUAGGGACAACAUUUGGAAACGAAUGCUAAUACCUAAUAUUAUGAUAAUAGGGCAUCCUAUAAUUAUGAAAGCUAUAAGCGCUGUGAGAGAGCUUUGCGUCCCAUUAGCUAGUUGGAGAGGUAACGGCUCACCAAGGCGAUGAUGGGUAGCCGGCCUGAGAGGGUGAUCGGCCACAAGGGGACUGAGACACGGCCCUUACUCCUACGGGAGGCAGCAGGGGGGAAUAUUGGACAAUGGACCGAGAGUCUGAUCCAGCAAUUCUGUGUGCACGAUGAAGUUUUUCGGAAUGUAAAGUGCUUUCAGUUGGGAAGAAACAAAUGACGGUACCAACAGAAGAAGUGACGGCUAAAUACGUG
rnacentral:rRNA from 1 species